CCCCUGGUAGUCCACGCUGUAAACGAUGUCGAUUUGGAGUUUGUUGCCUAGAGUGAUGGGCUCCGAAGCUAACGCGAUAAAUCGACCGCCUGGGGAGUACGGCCGCAAGGUUAAAACUCAAAUGAAUUGACGGGGGCCCGCACAAGCGGUGGAGCAUGUGGUUUAAUUCGAUGCAACGCGAAGAACCUUACCUGGUCUUGACAUCCAUAGAAUUCUGCAGAGAUGUGGGAGUGCCUUCGGGAACUAUGAGACAGGUGCUGCAUGGCUGUCGUCAGCUCGUGUUGUGAAAUGUUGGGUUAAGUCCCGCAACGAGCGCAACCCUUAUUCUUUGUUGCCAGCGAUUUGGUCGGGAACUCAAAGGAGACUGCCGUUGAUAAAGCGGAGGAAGGUGGGGACGACGUCAAGUCAUCAUGGCCCUUACGACCAGGGCUACACACGUGCUACAAUGGCGUAUACAAAGGGAAGCGAAGGUGCGAGCUGGAGCGGAUCUCAUAAAGUACGUCUAAGUUCGGAUUGGAGUCUGCAACUCGACUCCAUGAAGUCGGAAUCGCUAGUAAUCGUAGAUCAGAAUGCUACGGUGAAUACGUUCCCGGGCCUUGUACACACCGCCCGUCACACCAUGGGAGUGGGUUGCACCAGAAGUAGAUAGCUUAACCGCGAGGGGGGCGUUUACCACGGUGUGAUUCAUGACUGGGGUGAAGUCGUAACAAGGUAACCA
rnacentral:rRNA from 1 species